UGUCAUUCCUUUAUUGAAAAUAUUACCUUGUUCACACCACAGGGCCUACCAAAGCAAGGUUUCUCAACAAACUGUGGGGUGUUUGUUUUGAUGUACGCUCUGUACAUUGCAAUGGAAGCACAGUGUAUUUCACUGAGGUCUGAAGAAGAGGUUGAAAGAUCGAAAAAGGCGGCGAAAACAAAACACACUACAGCAUGAUGUAGAAGAUGUCCCCCCAAAGAAGUCACAGCAUGUCACAUCAGCAUCCAGCUCUGCAGGAUCAGAUGAUACUGGAAACAAAAUGCACAGCGAACUGGGAGCUGUGAACUGGGUAUGUAGUCUACUGUGUGUAAUGCUGAAGGCUUGAUGCAUGGCAAGAUAUAAUAGUUGUGAUGACUUGUUGAGUAGUUAUAGAUAUCACUGAAAACCCCCUUUAGUAAUAGGGG